CCCGCAUGUACCCAUAUAGAUAAGAAAACCCUAACUCACAAGCCUCCGCCGCCACCAGCUCGACCUCGCUCCUCCAAAUCCUCCACACCGCCAACCUCAGCAUCUCGCAUCUAGCAAUCUGUCCCGUGAUAUGGAGUGAGCGGUGGUGCCAGGUGGGCCCAUCACUGGCGCUGCCGUGAGGGGACUCCUCUGCAUCGUGGUUGCCGGCCGGCGCCGGCGCCGGCGCCGUGGUGCACGUGGCUGAUUGGGACACUGGAUCUGAGGAGCCCAUCAUCUGUUUGAGUGGCACAUUCGAGAUCUUGCUGAUAAUUUGACUAUUUGAUGAACACACCCUCUCCCACGAACUGCAGACCUUUCUGAUUAGCUGGACACUGGAUCUAAGGAGCCCGUCAUCUGUUUGAGUAGCACAUUGGGGAUCUUGCUGAUAAUUUGACUAUUUGAAGAACAUACUGGUUCCCUCUCCCACGAAUUGCAGACCUCUCCAAUUAAAUAGCAAAAAUGCAUGGCCUUCAGCACAGAAAGCUUACCAGCAACAAGGAUGCAAUAAGGGGUGGAAGCAAUCAAACUGGGUGCACUGAAAGGAGCAUUGCUGCUGCUGGUAAGUCCAAAAGAGCUAACACUAAAAGGGUUGGAGCUCAUACUGGGAGCUCGGAAAGGAGCAGUGCAGAUGGUUCUAACUCCAGAAUGGUUGGAGUUGAUGAUGGUCACACUAGAAGGAUCAAUGCUGAUGGUGUGGACUCCACAAUGGUUGGAGGCGCCAACGGUGAACACUCUGAGAGGAGCAGUGCUAAUGGUAUGAACCAUGAAAGGGUUGCUAAUAGUGUCAACUCUCAACUGAAUGGCACUAGUGAUGGGGCCAACUGUGAAUUAAAUGGUACUAGUGAUGGUCUCAACUCUCCAUUGAAUGGUGCUAGUGAUGGUGGUAACUCCCAUGGAAAUAUUGGUUCCAAACGAGUUCGCUUGGAUGCUCCAAAAAGAGGGAGGGCAAAGAUGUCGCGGACAGAACUGAAAAUGGCUCCGCGUAGUGGGCGGGUGGAGCUUGCACCUAGAGGCCAUCGGAACAUACUUUUGGUCCUGAGAAGAGUGGCACAUUAAACACAUAUGCUGUAACGAAAUCUAGAUUCAAAACUGUAGACAGCACUGGAAAGGCUGGUCCCAUUCACAGCCAAAAAGCACAAAGCCGCUUGGAUGACUACAGAUAGCUAGUUCCAGAUGAGAAUUCACAUGAACUUGAUGGGAAGGUGCUGCACAUUGUAGGAAACGGCAUGAAGCAUGGGCGUGUUCCAAUAGGCGAUGGUGCUGUGGACAAGGCAGCCAUUCUAAUACAUAGUAAAUAUGUACCUUUUAAACCAAUCAAUCCUGCUGAUUAUGAAAAGGUGCUCAAAGAAAAUGAGCAGCUGAAAGAGACUAAUGGGAUACUCAUUGAGCAAAUUAAUGUUAAUCAUGCACUGAUCAUGAAAAUGUAUUCUGAUUUUGGAAAAGAACCACCUCCAGAGCUGUUGGGGUGUCUAGGAAGUCUUGAUGCACGUCGUCAACAUGUUACAAAUUUUCUUCAAUGAUUGUAGUGUCCAAGUUUUUUGCGUUGAUGGUCUUUUGUCUAGAGAAUUAAUACUGUUUGGUGGCAGAAUGACAAUAUGAGUUGCAGCAGUGAAAAGGUGGCUUCUUGUUGAUUAGAAAUGUCAGCCUUAGUUUUAAGUUCAUGGCUAUUGGAUCUCCGCAUGGAUGCUCCCACUCUGUUCAUGAUAGGAGCAACAAUGAGAACACAGAUGAAAGCGAUGAUGAUGACUAUAGUGAAAGCGAUGACGACGACGAUGGUUCCUUUGAAGGAAAUGGCGAUUAUGAUCCUGAAUUAGAAGGCGAGGAUGAUGACGGCAAUGAAGUCGUCGGAGGCGAUCGUUGAUAACUAUUGCAGUGACUGAUCUACAAGCAGCAAAUGGAAUUGGUAUAAGACCCACGUACUAAUGCCGACUAAGUACUAGUUGCAUGCAUGAUGUGCUGUUAACUUCUUUUGCUCUAUUUUGGUAGAAGCUAACAUAUGAUGUGUAGCUGAGUUUUUGCUGAGUAUUUUGUGAGUGUGUGUGAUGAUGACAUGUAGGCAUGAUACAAUAUUGCCAUCCAGAUUAUAUGUAGGUAUGAUGAUGUGGUGAUGACAUGUUUGCUCUAUGCAAACUGGACUUGUACUGAGCAAAUGGUUGUUGGAUAUAUGAUCCGUACAUUAUUGAUGCAAUCAUAUAUCCAAUUUGGCUCAAUUGAAUUGUGACUUUGUUUGUA